rnacentral:rRNA from 1 species
UACGGAGGGUGCAAGCGUUAUCCGGAUUCACUGGGUUUAAAGGGUGCGUAGGAGGGCAGGUAAGUCAGUGGUGAAAUCUUCGAGCUUAACUCGGAAACUGCCGUUGAUACUAUCUGUCUUGAAUACCGUGGAGAUGAGCGGAAUAUGUCAUGUAGCGGUGAGAUGCUUAGAUAUGACAUAGAACACCAAUUGCGAAGGCAGCUCGUUACACGAAUAUUGACUCUGAGGCACGAAAGCGUGGGGAUCAAACAGG